rfam:Populus trichocarpa scaffold_15_contig_119, whole genome shotgun sequence.
UCUAGAACUCGAGAUAUGGGCUGAACACUGAACAGUGUCUGGGUUGCAGGACAGAUUCAGGCUUCUUCAUUGUUGCUACAAUUUGGACUUGAAAACGGCCUUAUUAAAUCUUGGGCUUCGCAUGAAAGUUGUAGGCCUAUGUCUUACCUUUCCAUC